UGACGAGCAGGCAUUGGCUCCCGUUUGGGUUUUCCCUGCAGAGUAAGGCCAUUGAAUUUAUCUCAUUUAUACCUUGAGCACCAACACACACACAAUUCGUGAAGUGGAAAACCGAGGAGGACGUCCCUGUGGGCUGGAGUGGACAAGAUCCUGUGAGUAGAGUUCAGUGUGGACAUCAUUAGGUUGUAUCAAAACCUCUGCCAUGUGUUGGAUGUCACUGGUGCCACAGUGACAGUCAGUGGGUCACACACAUGCGCACACCAUAUAUCCGUACUAGAAGUGCUCUUAACAGAAAAUGCCAAAUUUACCGUGGAGGACAAUAUUCCCAGUUGUGUGUUUUUUUCUUGUACUUUGCACAUUAGUCAAGCCUCGUGCUUGUUAAAGUGUGUGUGAAGUGUGACAUAUUCUGGAAGACAAGAAAGGCUUGUCUCUAUUUACUGCACAUCAGCCAGGUUGAAGCAGGUGACACUGGGCUCUCCAGAUUCACUCUCCUCUGCCUAAGAGCCACCACCUGUGGGGUGGAGCCGACUCCAGGGAGAGGAGGGUUGGGGGCAGUGCAGAGGCCCUUCAGGACUGGGCCCAGGUGAGGCCAGCCCCAGUGACAUCCCAGGCACCCUGCUGUUGGGAAGACAAGGGUGAAUGUCCUUGAAAUGAAGAGGUCAGUUUGCUAGUCUCGGGUGGGUGCCACGGUUGUGUGGGAUGGUGGUGGUGUUGUGGAUGUGUGGGCAAUGCCACAUGCUGGUUAUUCUUGGUUUGUGGGAGCUACGCUCCCCUUGUCCACAACGACAGGCAAGUGAAAGAGCUGGGCUCUGAAGUUAAGCAGAGGGGUUGUAGCACCAGCUUUGUGGGUUGGGUCUACGCCUCAAAUCUGUGUGCUGCCUCGGUUUCCUCUCGUAAAUGGAGCUCGUGAUAACAACCUUACAAGAUGUCAAGUGCAUCAGCGAUCCUACCUGACACAGUCGGCAGAGUGGUCCUUCUAUAAAUUAUAGCAAUGAUUAACUUCUCAAUCACAGCAGGUAAAUAAAUGGGGAGAUACGUUAGAUUUUUUUUUGGAUCUUUCCUGAUUUGCUUUGAUCUUUCAUAUAACGCACAAAUUAUCCUGAAGAGCAAAGAAAUGAAAGAAGCUUUGCAAAGCCAAAUAAGUUUGUGUUUCUCGUAAAACUGUCUAAUCAAAAUGCUGUCUAUUAACUCUGAUGUCAGGUGACCUUUGGCUCUGAAUUGGUGUGUUGUGGCAGAGGGAGUUCAACUUGUUCUCAAGAUUUCUGUUUUUGGCUGUAGUAAAGCAUAAAAGGGAGGAGACAUUUCUUUAGUGGGCAACUAUAGGGAGACUUUAAAAUAGUGCCCUUCUAGUCCUUCCCUUAGGAAGGAAGGAAGGAAGGAAGGAAGGAAGGAAGGAAGGAAGGAAGGAAGGAAGGAAGGAAGGAAGGAAGGAAGAGUUCUCUCAAGGAAAUUCAUGGUAACUAGAAACUCAGUGCAUGGAAACACAGGUCAUUACAUUGUGGACCAGGAUCUAAAACUUUAUCUGAUAAUUUCUCUUGCAUUGUGUCAGGGCCAAGGAUGAAAAUAACUGUCAUGGUCUAAUAUCUGUUUAUAUUUCAUGCAUGACUCAGUUUGUGAAUCAUCUUAUGAGGAGUUUGCUGGUUACUUCAGGGUAGUUUCCAUCAACAGAACCUGUAUGCGGGGAACAGAGAAGCGUCCACACUUGCGUGAGUCCCCAUGCACAGUGGUUGGUUGGGUGCAGGGACUUUGAAGGGACCAGCCAGGAUGCACAACCAGGCUGCAGGGGGGACAACGAUGAGGAAGUUCUCCUGCAGACAUCUCAUCACCACCUUCUUGCUGCUCUCUGAAGGUCAAGUUCUGGGCUUCUACCUGCCUGGACCAGUCUAUAGCUGAUUCUCAUCAUUCACAGAUACAACAUUUUAUUAACUUGCCUCAAACACUGAAUUGUCAAAUACUGAACUAUUGCUUCAUGAGGAAGUGGAGAAUCCGCUCCUGUGUGCCUCUGGCCACGUUUUCAUCGAAUGAUCGACAGAUUUGUUUUAUCCAUGUUUCUGCUGAAAGACACCUUAUGUCCCAUGAACUGUUGAUCCAUAAACACGGACCUCAAGGACAAUAGUACCUUGUCUUAGGUCUGAACGAAGCCUCUCCAACACACUCUGUUUUACCUGGCUUGGGAGUGGACAGUGGAGGCUUAUCCGCUUAGGAAAAUUGGGUAGUAUGUUAGCAUGGUGCUUGGGCCAUUCAAAACAGUGAAAUCACCACUGAAAAGCACCAGAACCCAAGACAUGGUAGCUGAAAGGUGCAGGAGGCUCUGGUGCGCAGUGCGGGGGCUGAGCAAGGCGGGGAGGCGCCUUGGUGGGCCUGCUGGGAGCACCGGCAUCUAAGUGACUUGGCUUGUUGCUCUGCACACAUCCUUGAGGGCAGGAGAAAGUGCCUCGUUAAAUUAAAUCCAGUUUGUGCCUGGGGAGGCCUCCUGCUUAAUUCCAAGUGUGGUCAGCUGUGACCUGGCUUGGUACGGGGGCCAGCUGUGUGUGCCCAUAGGAGUGUGCUCAUGAACUGGCCUCCCUCACAGUGGCAGGCUCAGCCAGCCCCUGUGGCCUGUUGAUUCAAUCAAACACUGAGUCAUAACCCAUUGAGGAGUCUGGUGCCACUUAUGUUCUCUGUCCAUAAAUGCUGUCUGUCGACUUCACAGGCCUGAAUUCCCUGAACAUCUUCUUAUUCUGAGGCUGUUCAACUCCAGAAUCAAGAACAAAAGCCAGCGGAAGUCUUUCAAUUUGUUGUGACUUUGACUUGUGAUUUAAUGAGAAGGUGUAUUUGCAGACACGUUAUCCGGGAAUAAUGAGGAUUGACUCUGUGACUCUGGCUCUCGUGGCCUCGGCCUCUGUGUUUAACACCAGUCCUGAGAAGACUCUGUUCUGCUCUGCUUGGAUCAGGAUCCAGUUGGCUGGGGCUGGCACUUGGGGUUGGGGCUGGGGCUUAAUGAGGAGGCUGUUCUCCUGGCACUUGGGUUGGUGGUGAUAUUGGCAUCUUGGUCUCCUUUGUAUUACUUGGAAAGAUGCACUUGGCAACCCAAAUGCUGGUGGGUAUCAGAGGUCAGAAGUGAAAGGACUGAUUUUUUUUUGAAUUUUUGAUACCAGGGAUUAAACUCAGGGACACUCAACCAAUGGGCCAUAUCCUUAGUCCUUUUGAUAUUUUAUUUAGAGACAGGAUCUCACUGAGUUUUUUAGUGCCUCGCUAAGUUGCUGAGGUUGGCUUUGAAUUUGCCAUCCUCCCUCCUUAGUCUCCCGAGCCUCUGAGAAAGGACUAUUUUUUAUAAUUGGCUGUAGUUCUGUUUUUCUUCACCCCCUAAGGUGUCUGGGACCCCAGAGAAAGGUAGUGUGCAUGUGGUCCUGUUGUGGACCAUUUUCUCUUCCUUUGUGUGCGAGGGUCACACACUUACCUCGUGGGGGUCAGUGUCAUAAUGAUCCAGUACCCCUCCCUAGCACAUGCAAACACAGGACCUGUGCAGUGCUCUGUAUGGGGGCCAUGUGGCCUGACCAAGCCCUUGUCUGCUCGCAACUUCCACCCGAGACUGUCAGAGUGUGUUUAGGUACAGGGCUGUAUGCAGCUGUAUGGCAGCUGGUCCUGUCUGCCUGAAUGGGUGAGCUUGGCACUCCACCUAAGGCUCACGCUGAACUCCGAGGGGAUCAACAAGCCGCUCUUAUGUAAGGGCAAGGAGAAGGUCCAGCCCCAGCAGUCCCCUCUCUGACCUGUGUUUUUUCUUCCCUGGAACAACAAAGAGGCUUUGGAAUUUCAAGGUCGUUUUCUAUCUGGGCUGUGGAGCAGGCGAUGGGAUGAAAGCCUUCUCAAGGGCCUCGGGUCCUGGAGUUGAUGGUUUAGACUCAGGCACAGACAUAAACACACGUGACUGACGUCAACAUGUGGCUCUCAGCCCCCGCGCAGAGCUGGGUGGUCCCCGGGAGCAGCACUGGGAGAGGCCACCGGCUCACUGAGCCCCUGGCAGCGGCCAGGCUCACAAUGGGAUUUUGUCCAGUGCUGACCCCUCCCCCUGACCUGGAGUCUAACGCGUGCAACCGGGUGCUGGGCAGAUGCGGGGUGCGGCAGAAGGCAAGUCCUGGUUGAGUCUGUCAUGGUGUCCCCCAAUUCAUGUUGAGCUGCCUCCCUUGUAGUGGGAGCAAGAGGUUUGGGGAAGUGAUCAGGUCACAAGGGCUGGCAGGAACUAGCUAGGCCUCUUUCCACCCUUCUGUUCCUCCUGCCCCAGUGGGCACAGCCCCCAGGGCUCUGUCAGAGAGCAGAGAGCAGGCCUCAUCAGACCCUGAGCCUGCCUGGGGCACCUGCUGUUGGAGUCCCGCCCCCCAAGCUCCCCUGCAACUGGGAGAAACACAUCUCCGCUCCGACAGAGUGCCCAGGCUCAAGGUGCUUACAGCAGCCCCGAUGGACUCAGAGAGUCACAGAUCCAUCUACCAAACCAUGGGAGGCUGCAUGGGGCCUCGACCCCUGUCCAGAACCUCCCAGGUGACAGAGACUAUAAGAAGGACUGUGGAACAGGAAGGGGACAUUAGUUGUGGGGGGCGCUCUUCAGCAGUUUGGUCCACAUUGGUGACAGGGACAGCCCUCUAAUUCCUGUGAGGGGUAAGGUCCCUCAAACUGGGCUUGUCUGUCCACAUGCUGAGCACAUGAAGACACAUUUGAUGCACAGGGCACCUUGCUGGAAAGAAUUUCUGCAGCUCAGGAUGACAAAGCAGAAAUAAGGAGACGGUAUUAGCGACAUCCGUGUCAUAAGCCACAGAUGAGCCCAUUUGCAGGAGGGCUGCCAUCAGGGGUCUGCUCUCCUGAGCCUGGGCAGCCGCGCCCCGACUUCUGGGGCCCAGGUUCCCUGCGACAGCUGCCAUCAGGUCAGUCACUCCUGAGAGCCCAGCAUGGCAGCUGCAUUCCCAGGACUCCUGCUUCCUGGCCCUGGCUAGUCUUGAAGCCAGGUGGCUCAGCCCUGAACAGUGCAUGUCCCCUCCAGAUUGCCAUGGACCUAGAGUGACAGGGAAAAUGUGUUUUUAUUUGUUUUGUUUUGUUCUCAAAAAGCAAAGUUCCUAUUUGUGUUCUAUAAUCCAGGCUCGUCUCCGAGUUGCCCGCCCACAGCCCAGCCCAUCGGAGCCCAUCAGAGAGAGGGAGGCUGCUGGACACAGGGGGUCAGGGCACUGGGCACAGGGCUCUGUGGCUGGACAGGUCCUGCCCACCUUGUUCAGGAGGCCUGUGGUUAAGCUAGUGCCAGGCUCCCCCGGUGGAGGGGAGGGGAGCACAGUGACCAUGUCUGUGGUCCUAUUCCUGAGCGAGGUCACAAAUCUGGGCUAAUAUUUUAUAGAGGGGGUCAGGGCAUGCUCAGGAUAGGCUUAGAAAACUUCCUGGAGAAGAGGGUGGCGGUGCUCAAGAGGCAGGGGAGCAGGCUGCGGACUGGCAAGGCCCUCGCAAUGCAGAGUACUCUCUUGCCCGCGAUAUGCCACACCUCUCCUCCAGGGGCAGAGCUGUCCCUCUCCCCCCAGCUCCCCAGAGCCUCGGGGCUCAGGAAUGAAGGGCUUAAGAUGGGUGCAGUGGAGACCUGUCUCCCGUCUCCCUGCUGAUUCUGGGCCACACCAGGCAGCCAUUGAGAGUAUGGCCCUUGUCUAUGACACAGCACUUCCUGGAGGGAAGACACAUUUGAUGCACAGGGCACCUUGCUGGAAAGAAUUUCUGCAGCUCAUGGUGACAAAGCGGAAAUAAGGAGAUGGUAUUAGUGGCAUCCAUGGCAUCCAGAGUUUGGCGGCUGCCUUAAUUGAGAUGCUGUCUCAGCUGGUCCAGAGUCCUUCUUACAGGGCUGCCACCCAGAUGAUGACCACCCAACGGGAGACGGCUGGGCAGGAAAGCGCGACACCGGGGCAGGGAGUGAUUUAUAGAUCCUUCCAGGGGCAGGAGCUUGCCGUCGCUUGCAGAGCUGGCCCCACACUCCUGCAGCGUUGCACCAGCGACAUCAUCACGCUUCCUCUCAUUCAUCCUCGCACUUUUGGAUUAGGAAGGAGAGAUUAAUUGUGUGGGGGACCCUCAGCAAUUUGCUGAACCUCUGCAUUCCUGACAUUAAUCUUUCCCCAAGUGCCCUAUCAUUAACUUGAAAAAUCAACCGGGCAAAACCUUAGAGUAGGUUCAUGCAAAUGAGAAUACAUAAAUAGCACGCGGAGAGGAGCUGGGAAGGCCGCCGGGCUUCCUGGGCACCUGUGGCGGAGUGUCGCGGGAGCCCCCUUCGCAAGCCUUCAUCUGUGGAACGUGUCCCUUGUCCACAGCUUGUUAGAGUCGUUUCUUUUUGGCGUGGGUCAGGGAAAGGCAUGAAAACAUUUCUAUUUUCAAAUAAUGCAAAUAAAAAAUCCCUCUUCGGAGGAAACGCCCCGUGCUGUUGGAACUCGGUGGCCAGGGCUUCACCUAGGUUCUCUUCAAUCCAGAAAGAAAAAUCGCAGGAGAUUGCUUGCCUUGAGACUUUCCCACAUGACAGCAAUUCUUACCGUGCCAGAAGUGGUUCAUCUUGUUGUAUGGGAAGUUGGCUAAAGCACUGCAUUGAGGUAACAACUUUGGAAGUUUUGAGUCUCUUUUUCUGAAAACACUCUUCCAUGCAUAGAUUUGUUCUUAGGUAAGUAAAGGUCUUGAUUUGUGCACACUAAAUCAUGGUGACCAGCUGUGUAGAAAAACAGCUGUGUGUUCUACUAGGACAACAUGGCCCUCGAGCCGGGGCUCUGAGGGGAGGCCCCUGGCUGGCCAUUGCAGGUGCCUGGCUUUGCUCUACCCACUCCUCUGUGCAGUGCCCUCAUGGUGGCCAACGGACUGAAGGCAAACUGCCCAUGCGGGUUGAGAAGGACACACCCGCUGUUCCACUGACUACUUAUGAACGAGGCCUUUUGAAAAAUCUGCACUCAGCUGAAUCUUCCCGUGCACUGCCAUGGACAUACUCACCAGCUACCUGAGUCAGGUAGAGCAGGAUACAGCCAGGUCAAAUGGACACAUGGAAUAAGAGAUCUGAGAAAGGGGAAAUUAGAGAGAUGCUGGAAUUUGGAUGUUUUUCUAGAUUUCAUUAAAAGGUAAAAAUAUAAAUCAUCUGAAACCUGUAAAGUUUUUGAUUGGAACAAACCUUAAAGUGAAGUUUAAAAUGAAAAGUAAUUCACCAUAGAUUAUAUUUUCUUCUUAUUAAAUUUUACAUGGUAGUGUCAUCAAGUUAAAACCUCACAAAGGCCUGGGUUUUAAAAAAAGGCAUGUGGUUUUUUCCCAAUUAUUGGUUCGCUUAAUAUUUAUGGAGAGCCUCCGGAGUGUACAUCCCCGUGUUCAACAGGAAAAUUGUGGAGAAACAUCGAACUUAGGCCAAGACACACUCUCCAGUGAUGGAUCACGUCAUCACAUGGAAGCCGGCAUAGGCAGAGCCUGUGAGCGCAGCCUCUGGUCCAUCUGCUGAUGUCUAGCCAAGAGGGACAGAGAAUGACUAGUCACUUCAUGGUCACGCAUUUGUUUGAACUUUGGUUACCAACUCAAUUAAUAAUUUAUUUUAAAUAAGCUAAAUGUUCAGCCUAUGUUAAAGUCAUUUGCAUUCAUGUGCAAGGUAAAUAUGUUUGAAUUUUUAAUACUCUUUUGUAUAUCAACCCCAUUUGACUAAAACUUGGUGGAAACAUCUUUAUUUCACACAGAUCAUUUCCUUAAACUAAAAGCAACCCCAAGGAAGUACACAGCACCCGUUAAGUGCCGGGCAGUGCGCAUGUGCACACAGACACACAAGCCCUCUGAAGAGCCAUGGGAGGGAGUCCCUGUCACCUGCAUGAUUCGACCACAUGGAGCCUGCACUGCACCAGAGCGUAAGCAGAAUUCUUGUUUUUCACAAGUGUGUGGAGGAUGACAGUCAUCAGUAGUUACACAUUUAUCAAACACUUGUCUUUGGUAGGCACUAGGGACACAAGGGUGAUCCAGAUCCGGGGCUUGCCCUCCUGUUUACCUUCUAGAGAAAGCAGGUCUUCACAAAGCUGCUGACACAUGACAUUCCCAGUUUGCUUUCUUGUAGAAGGUGGCCUGGGCAAGUUGAGGUCACAUGUAAAGAUUCCCCAAUUCUAACAGUGAACUUCAGGCAAUAAGGGGCUUCUUGUGAUCUUUCACCAGACUCAGCCACGGCCUCCAGGGCCCUUAGCAAGAGGGAGGUGCACAGCGGGUUAGUCAUGUCCAGUGUGAAGACGUCGGCCAGCACCAGGAGACAGUCACAAACAGAAGACCCCAGAGAGGGACUGGAACCUCCUUCCACUGGCUCCUUUUCUGUUCCUGAGGAAGAGCCAUCAGCUCUGGCCCAGAACAAUCCGAGUUAAAAGGUGUGGACACGGAGAACGGAUAGGCUGAGUGUCGUGAGAUCCAGUGACUUUAGCAGAUACUGUCGACUAUUUAGCAGACAGUUUUGAAGGAUAAAAACGAGCCAGGACCUGCAAAGCUCCCUGGGUCUAGCUCCUGAAUUACAGGAGUAGAAUACAUGGAUCAUGUGUGCAUGUGUGUGUGAGCAUUUGUGUGAUAGCACAUGUGUGUGCAAGUUAACAGCCACUGAGAACAACAUGGGCUCAGCUCCCCAAGGUGAUUCGCCUAGGACCCUCCUGCAAUCUCCUAAGACCUGGUCUGCAUUCACACAGGCCUUCUGUCUAAAACCACACAUUCUGCCCACUUGUGCUCUCUCUGCAGCGGGUAAAGCUGAGCUCUCCACAAUGUAAAUCUUCACAGUACAGAAUUUGGAUAGAAUUUAAGGUAUUUUAGUGUCACAAGCAAUAUUCCCUAACUUUAAAAGGGGAAAGAUAUUGAAUAUGACAUUCAGAUAAAGAAUUCUUGGGACUCAUUGGGUUUGUUGUUUCUAAUGAUCCUUGGGGAGCAAGCUGUGACUCUAAACCUUUUAAUAUAUAUAUAUUUUUUGUAUUAAGGAUUGAACCCAGGGGCGCUUAACCACUGAGCCACAUCUCCAGCCCUUUUCGCUUUGGAUAUUGAGACUCAGUCUUCCUAAGUUGCUUAGGGCCUCACUGAGUUGCUGAGUCUAGCCUUGAACUUUCAGUCCUCCUGCCUCAGCCUCCUGAGUCACUGGGAUUACAGGUGUGCGCCACUGCCCAGCAUCAUAAUUUUUUCCAUGAAAUAUGCCUAAGGAAACUAUUUGGUCAUUAGCAGUAAAACAGAACAAAAUAAAAACAAAACAAAACCAAACCUCUAUCUGCAUACAGACUUCACAGGAGGUACACAGCAAUCCUAAGUAAAGAUAAAAUUCCAUUUAGAAUAUCCCAUCAGACCAUGAGACGGGUGUGUGGUAAGCUCUUCUCCGUCACAGCCCUGAGGACGUGUAUCGUGUGGUUUCUCAAGGUCUGAAACCAUAUUCCUUGCCUGUGUCAGGGAUGUCAUUGAAGGCCCCAAACGAUGCUCCUCCAGGCACUCAGGAGAGGUCUGAGGGUCCGCAUGCCGUGGUGAGAGUACAGUGCUGCAGGACCUGGUGCACAGAUGGGGCAGUGAUCAAGAAGCUGUUGGGAUAAAAAGAGGUUUCGUUCCUUGCCUUCCCCCGUGAGACUGGCAUGGUGUGUUUUCAUCAUGUUCUUUGAAGUGAAUUCCUAGAAUCAAGACGUUUUUCAAGACGUUUAGAAGUGGGGGGUCCCAGCUCUAAUUGCACUUUUCCAUAGACCAUGGUCAGCAGGUCACAUUCUGAUGACCUCACGUACCCCUCAGGAGACCCGUAUUGAGUGCACGCUGUAUUCCAGGACGGCUGCCUGUUGAAAUUGUAUUAUCUCAGAAUGUUCCUGAACAUUCAUGCAGGUACAGAAAUCUUUCUGAAGCAACGGCUUGUGUGGAUGUGCAGAAAUUGGAACCCCUGUCCUUCAUGGGGGGAACCCCUGUCCUUCAUGGGUGGGACUGUAAAAUGGUGCAGCCACUUUGGAAAAGAGUUGAUAAUUCCUCCAAAUGUCAGGCCCAGAGUUACUGUGUGACCAGUAAUUCUACAGCUAGAUUUAUGCUCAUGAGAAUUGAAAAUGGUGUCUACAUCAAAACCUGCACACAAAUGUUCUUAUCAGCUUUAUAAUAACCAAAUUGGGAGUAACUCAAAUGUUCAUCAGCAGAUGGAUGGAUAAACAAAACACAGUGUGUUUGUGCAAUAGAAUGCUUAUUGGAUAUUUUGUGAAAGGGUGCAAUUCUGUUUCAUGUUCCAGUAGGGACGAACCUUGACAUUAUUAUGCUAUGUGAAAGAAGGAACAACAAGCGGCCACAAAUUGUGCUUCUGUUUAUAUCCCAAUGCCCAGGAUACACAAAUCCAAAGGCAGAAAGUCAAUUAGUGGUUGCUGAGAGAAUGAGGGUGUGGAGGGAAACGAGGGUGAUCUGUGGAUGUGUUUUAUUUGGGGAUGAUAAUAGAGAGUGGCAAUGGCUUUACAAUUCUGUGAUUAAGCUAAAGUGACUGAAUUGCACACUUUAAAGCAAUAAAUCUUAUGGUAUGUGAAUUAUAUUUAAUGAAGUUUUUACCGAGCUCUUAGGUUGUUCAAACCUUUGUCCCAUAAGUGAUCAAGAUUGAACUUGUUGUUUUGAGAUGUUUUUAGCCUUUAGAUUAAAAUAAAGCAAAAUUUUAAGAUAAUCAAAGACAACAAAGCAAUCAGAGUUAUUUUUUCACAAGUGUUAGAAUCUUAUGUUUUCAAACAUCUGAAGAGAAUCAUCCAUAAGAUGAAUCAGAACCAUAAAAGAAGUUUUGCAAUACUUUUGCAGAUGGUCUUAUUUAAACAGAUUUUGGGUAGUGAUAAUGUCGAUGCUUAUACAGUUACACGGCAUAAGGCCUGGUUUGGAUGAGGGGCCUUUUGGGCAAGACUUCAUGGGGAAGCGUUCUCCUUUGUAUUUCCCGGACUCAGCGCUUGUGUUAGUUGAGGAGAGGAUUAAAUGCAUCCUCAUUUUAUAGCUGUCCCUUUUUGAGGGGAUCUCUCCCACCAGAAACAAAAUAAGCGUCCCUUUAUCUCUGAGAUAAUACAAUUUCAACAGGCAACCGUCCUGGAAUGCAGCGUGAGCUCGAUAGGUGUCUCCUGAGGGGUACGUGAGGUCAUCCGAAUGUGACCUGCUGACCGUGGAAAAGUGCAGUUAGAGCUGGGACCCCCACUUCUAAAGACAGCCUUUUCCUUCCCUUUCAACACAAGCAUGGAAAUUCCAAAGCAUUUUUAGUGAAGGAAAUAGCUAAGCAUAUUUGUGGUUGGGUUUAUGUAAAGAAAAUAUCCCAAAGGGUUCUUAAUUUCCUAAGUCCGCAGUGAUCAGUGAUAGCAAGAACUUUAACCUGUGACCACAGCAUGAAGCCAAACUUGAGAGCAGAGUUUCCUGACGAGUGAUUGUUUGGGAGUGAAACCUGGUUCUCAGUUGCAUGAUGCGGUUAUAAAUAUUUUUACAGGAAUGAGGGAUUUGCUGAGGCAGCACGGGAUUUUCAUCAGCCUUUAUUGGUUUUCUUCUCAAGCCCAGUUAAACUGAUUCUCCAGAGAAACAGAUAAUGCGUGAUAAUGUGUGUGCGUGUGUGUGUUUCCAUUUUGCCCAUCGGAUAACACAGGAGAAUCGUAUAUUAUUUGCAGAGGUGAGGGAGGACCCAGUGGAACGAUGUUCCUGAACAUUGAAGCUCUUCAUUGAUGGACAUUUCAAAUAUUAUUUUUUAGCAAAAAUCAGAUUUCCACUCUCUCAUCCUAUUGCCUUGGUGGAGAGCUAUUUAAGUCUGAUAAUCUGUUGCUGUAAGGGGCCAGAAGGUCGUCACUGGAUGGCCUUAGGAAUGGCCAGGGAGGGUCACACUCACUACCAUCCCCAUCAGCAUCUCUUGGCCAAGUCAGAGCUCAGGCAAACCAAAGGAAUUUUAAAGUUUCCAAGACUUCUUGACUGGUGUAUUUACAUAGAUUCGCAUACUCUGAAAUUAAGUAAGAAAUUAAAUUGUGAGAUCUCUCAGAGGGAAAUUCAGAAGUUCAAAUGUGAAAAUGUUAUAGUAUGGGUCAAUAUCACAUUGUGGUGGUGCACACCUGUAAUCCCAGUGACCAUGGAGGCUGAGGCAGGAGGAUCUCAAGUUCAAGACCAGCCUCAGCAACUUAGUAAGAUUGUCUCAAAGUAAAAAAUGUGGGCUUGUGGCUCAAUGGUAAAGAAUCCCUGGUUUCAAUCUUCAGUACUAACAAAAGAGAGAGAGAGCAAGCGCCUUACUGCCUCUAAUCCUCUCUGGCAUUUCCAUCCUGCAGGGAUCUUACUCCCCAUUCCUUCCCUGCCACUCUGCUGGUCUGUGAAAUGGCCCUGAACUCUGCGGGCACAAGCCCUGGUCUGAACUCUGGGCAGUGGCCGUCUGCGUCAGUCGUGUGGCCUGCACAUGGACGUGGGCAUGUUUAUGCCCAGUGUAGCUUAUGCAUCCCUGGAGGUCUUGGGUCACCCCAGCCGAUGUUUGCCAGGUACCUCACUCGGCAACCUCACAUUAAACCUUUAUUGUCUGAACGAGCGAACAAGGAGAGCUUGACACAUGGAGACAGCCGCUCAUCUGAGAGGUGUCUGUGGGUGAAUGGUCACCUGAGGUGCAGUGACUCACUGUUCUUCCUAUGAACCAGGUUGUUGUUUGGAAGCUGAGGUCCUCGGGUCACGGGGCCUUCGGGUGUGGGAACAUACUCCCCUGCAUGGUGCUGGGAAGGACUUUGAUUGUCACGUACAGAGCAGAGGAGUGCAAUCUGAUGUCAGCCUGAUAAUUUUUUAUUUUGCAUGCCUUCCACGUGACCCUUUUGGUUAGGAUGGCCAUCCAUUUUAAAAACACCUGUUAAAUUGCCUUUCAGAAUCCUACAUCUAGCCCAGCAUUAAUCUGUUUAUCUCAGAGUGACGGGGCUUCUGCUGUUGCUACUGGAUUGUGGCUUUGACUCUUCCCUCUGACAGAGCGGGCCAGGGCAGGGACAGGGCCCUGAGAUUUCAGUCCCUACCCAUAUAGCCACCGGGUGGUUUGUUUUCAGAAGGUUCCAGCACAGACCACUUGGGUACAAAGGGUCAAACACAGUCCAAACAAAUGGUUGACAAUAAUAGGUACAAAGGACUCGUGUCCUCAGUGAAUGAUUAACCACAAGUUAUCAUAAACAAAAGUGUUCCAUACAUUUGACAAACAGGCUUGUCACAGGGCUCAGGGAACACGGAGGGCACAUCGUUUGAAAUGAGGUGUCUGUCAUCAGACAUCAGGGUGACAGUGAAGGCUCAUUUUUGAGGAGUUUUCUUGUAAUAUGAGUAAAAUGGGGGACACACAUCACGUCUGCACCCCAGCUGGCAACGUGUGCCCCAGGACUGAAGGCACCCUGGGCACUGCACGUGGCGCUCAGCCAUUCUCUGCUCAGCAGAUGACUCUGUGCAUACUCAUCUCAGGAGGUGCUAUGUGGGGAUAGCCUUCCUCCUCCCACAGUUUCUGUUCUCCUAAGGACGAGAGAGUGGUGGGCUGUGCCCAUCACCCAAACAGAAAGACGGCCAAGCCAUUUUGAAAAAAUAACACUGCUGUAUCUUCAAAGGAGCCUAAGACUAAAAGUGUCUAUAUAUAUAUAUAUAUAUAUAUAUAUAUAUAUAUAUAUAUAUGGACUCUUUUCCACAGAUGUGCUAGGACAUACACAGCCAAGUGCACAGGGCGGUCCCGAGUGGCCGACUGGGAAGAUUGCUCAAAUAUUUUCCAGUACUUCUUUUUGCUGUAGUAGGAAUUGGGUUGAGCCACACUUUGCAAAUCACAUAAGGAAAAGGUUUUUUCCUUCCUCAGGAGAAGGCAACCCCUGUGCGGGCUGAGUUAUUUGCCCCCUUUUGGUACAAAAGGGGAGAAUUAGGCCCUUGGUGCAUGCAGAGAAGUCCCUGAAGUCAGGAAGCCUGAGGCCCAACCAGAAGCCAGGGAGGUUUCAGUGACUUAUGAAAUUAUGAAAGUGGAAAGGAGUGGGCCCAGGUGACAGAGCUCAGUACAGACAGAGCUCCAGCCGCCCUGCCUGCAGACAGCUUGAGAUGUGGUUUCUGCUCACAAGACCCCCCACAGUCCCCCCAUCCCCAUCGCUGCGGCCAGUGCACUGUUUCCACGCACAGCACAACUGGGCACAGCACUCCAGGACAUCAUGGUCUCCGAGGAUAGUGACGUGGUUGAGGAACGGGAAGGAGAGGAACUGAGGCCACAGAGGGCAGGAAGCACCCGCUGUCCCCCAGAGCGUGUUCUGACCGUGCGUCUAGGACGGCUCUUCCCUGUGCUUUUCAGAUCCCAGAACCUUGUUCUCUCCCUCUCCUCUUGGAAAUACAGGUCUGAAGGGCUUCGAGGGGUUCCCACCGGAAGCACUUUCUUCUGUUAUGGCCCUGCUGCAGGAAGGAGCCCUGGGGUGGGCACUCGCCCAGACAUGCCCCCAGGGGUCCUGCGGGAGUCACCAGGGUCGGAUCCGGCUCUGGACUCCCCCCUCUGCUGAGGUGGCGAGCUGACAGGUGCAGAGAGCUGACGUCCCCAGCCCUUUCUCUAUCUGCCAAGGGGGGACCACAGCAUCACACUUGGUCUUCCCUGUCGUCGGCCAUGGGUCUCUGACAGGGCUUUCCCAUGUCCACGACCUGGGUCUUUUCCUGGGUCCUGCCAAACACAUCCCACCUCCCAGCCCCCAGGUCCUGUCUUCUCCACAGGGUCUGAGUCUCCUGGGGCUGUUGUAAGGAAGCACCACGAACUGGGUUCUGCAGCCCAGAAUCCCAAGUCAAGGCCACGUGUCUUGAGCCUCUGGGCAGAGAGCUUCCUGACCUUCAGUGGGGGCUGCCUGCCACCACAAGAUGCUCCCCCUGGUCACUUCCCUCCAUGUACAAGGACACUCAACACACUCGACUAAGACUUGCUCCAAGGACCUCAUCUUAACCUAAUGACAUUUGCAAAGGCCCUAUUUCUAAAUAAAGUUGCAUUCACCGGUACUGGGGGUUUUAAGAUUUUAACAUGUCUUCUUGGGGGACACAAUCCAACCCAUUCCAGUCGGUAAACCUGCUUCUUCUUAAUAAUUUAUGCUCAUCUGAUGCUAUAUUCUCAUCAUAAGUCCACCAGGUGAAGACUCGAUGUGGUUUGUACGGUUGGCUUUACCAAUCUCAAAUGCACACUACACAUUUUGCCCCGGGCACUGGCCAAGACACAUGUGGGCCCUCCAGUCUUGUCUUGUUUUGUUUCCCUUACGGCUGCCUCAGUGUGUCAAGGGGUCCCCAGUCACCCGGCACCUCUCUGCAUCCCACUGAGCGUCUGCCGUGUGACGUGACCUGAGAUGCUGGGGACUGAUGAGCAAGAACCCAGGCAGCACUGCUGGCAUGGCACAUGGGCACAAGCAAAAGGGGGAGGGCAGGGGUGGGGUGAUGGCCUGGGGAAGAGGCCCUCCUGCCCCCUGGCCUGGACCACACACCACACCUGGCUUCUGCCCCUCUGUGAGCCAGCAUGUCACGGGUGGAUGGGGGUUGGCCAAUAAACACCUGCGAAGUUCCCAGAGCAGGUCCAGACACACAGGGAUGGUCGCUGAGAGCUUCUCACCACUGCACUGCACAGGUCUCCCCUCUCCUGGUGGCAGGAAGCUCUCCCUGCAGAAGGGCAGGUGUGCCAGGACCUGGAGUUAGGUGGCACUCAGAGGAAAGGUGGGGGAGGGGAGACGGGACCACUGGAUGGGCUGACUGAGGAGCUCCGUCACGCUCUGCCGAGUUUUCCUGAGCCCUGGGCUUGCUCCCGUCCUGUCCUCGGCUGGUAGAUAAGCGGGUCUUCUCUAGUGGUCUUCAAGACCACCAUCUCACAUCCACGUUUACCCUGGGGUGCUUCUCAGGCAGCCUGUGCAUCUGUCCUGUCCACCAUGGGAUGGACAGUCCUGUCCUCCCUGUGCAUUCACACAGGUCAGUUUGGGGCCGUCCUCAUCUCCCCACACAACCUUUGACCACAGUCUGCAAUCUUCCUCUGAGUUCCAGAUAGUAAACAUCUCAGGCUUGUGGGCAUGUGGCCUCAGUUACAGGGCUGCAGUGAAGACUCGGCCAGAGCCACCUGUAGAUGAGGGGUGAGCUGAGCUCCAACAAGACUGUAUCAUAAAACACCUGCGCGGCAGGACUUGCCUGGGGGUCAUAGUUUUUCUCCCCUUGCCUUAGACUAUAAAAUUCCCUUUGGAAAUAUGAUAUGUGAAUUUGUGCGUAUGUUUAAAUAAGUUAAAUCCAAACUCCUUUUGCCACUCUUGGGCUCAACGAUUCCCUUUGCUCUUAAGAGCAUUUUAUCCCACCACGCCCGACAGGACAGUGGGCACAGAGUCCCUCACUGGAGAGUGAAUGACGAAUGCGUGAUGAGCUCUCCCCCGUCUUCCUCCCUACCCCGCCAGCCCUUCCAUGCCAGUGGGAGGUAGCUGCUUUGAAAAAAGGGAAAUUGUGUAUCUGUACGGGAAAUCCCGAUUUCCUAUUGCUGUUUCCUUGUAAGCUGAAUCCUAAAUUCUUGGCACCGAGACAUGUUGACCCUGGAGGGUGAUGCUGAGAUCACAGAUUGCUCCCUGAGGCUGUAGGACAGACAGGUGGCUUGAAACCAAGGCAAUACAGGGGCACAUAGAGGGCGGAACUUAUCCAGGAUUAGAAAACAAUGGAUCAGAGUGUUUUCUUCUCUAUCUUUUGGGGUGAAAUACUCACACUCAAGACACAGCAGAAUAUUGGGGAAGUUAAAUGAUAGGCAAUUUUGUGGAUUUUACGAAGAACAUUUUUAGGUCUUUAAACAUACUAGAUGUUGAUUAAGAAAAAAAUUAAGUUUUUAAUCCCUAAACACCAAUUUUUCCUUCAACAUUGAUGGUUUUCAGUUUAUUUUCAACAUAGGAUUAUCAUUACCACUGUUUUUGCACACAUCCAUUUUAAUUGAAAAUUUUUUUUCUGGAUUAGAAAUGGAAACAAAACAUUCAUUAAGAACAAAAUGCAUAUAUGAUUCAUGAUGUGUUCUUACAACCAAAGAGUACACGGUCUGAGUCUGCAAACUCCAUCCUGCAGGCCAAAUCCACAAAGUCAGAGAGGUCAUUACAUUUUUAAUGUAAACAAAAAUUUUUUAAAAUAAUAUUUUAUAUCGUGAAAAUCAUAUAAAACUCAAACUGCAGUGCACAUAAAAAGUUUUAUUAGAACCUAGCAGUGAAUAUUGGGUUCCUUACCAUCUGGGCUGCUUCUUGCACUCACUGUCAGCACUGAGACUCUGUGUGGUGAAAAUCCUCACUAUCUGGCCCUUUUCAGAAGUCCAUGUGGCAGACAGGGAGGCUCACCAAUCCCGCACUGGGUGAGGAGCACGGAGCUCCCAAGGGCGCAGUCCCCACAAUGCAGGCAAGUUCAACCCACUUGGGACCCCACAGAACAGAGGCGAGCUCUGGCCUGCGUGCGGGGGUGUCUGGGUGCUGCUCAUGGCUCCCUGCUCCUCGACAUGAGCUCUGGUGGCAUGCACAUGUUCCCUCAGCUCUUGGGGACCUCAUGACUUGUGUUCUUCUCUGCACUGACACUAUGUUCUUAAAAGCUAACUUAAAAUAAAAAGAGAGAGAGAGACUAGGAGGCAAUAAAAAGGUUCACUAAAUAGAGAAGUAAAAAUAGAGGAAAGGAAAUGUGUGAAGAGUAGCAGACAAGACAGUGGAGCUCCUGGACAUGCCUGAGCCCUGGGGGCAAGCCAGAGGGGAGCGGGAGGCCAGGGGCCAGGACGAAGCUUCCCAGGAGACGGACGGAGGCUGAGAAGGUUCAGCCUGCUGCCCAGGUCUCACUAUUUGUAUGUAGAGGACACAUUUUAUCCCAGGAGGAAAAGAUGGUGUGCGUGUGUGUGUGAGUGUGUGUGUGCGAGUGUGAGUGUGUGUGUGUGAGUGUGCGUGAGUGUGUGUGUGUGUGAGUGUGUGUGUCUUGGAAAGAUAAGGAGGAAACAGGAGGUGUGGAAGACACACCAGUUUCCGCGCUGGCUGCUGGGAUGGCCAAAUCCCAGACCAGCUUGCUCCCCUGGAGUGGGGAGGCUGGAAAGGGCAAGUGACAAGGGCCUUGGGAGACAGAAAGGACGAGAGAGGCUCCAUCUGCUUCUGGUGCUGUCCCAGUACUGUGGCUUCUUAGCUCAAGAAGCACUUACUCGGAAACCAGCUUUUCCCUCUACGUAUGGUGCCGACCUUGGCUGGUCUGGAGGGAAGAGUCUUCAUCCGUGUGGAAAAUGCUCAAGGAAGCUGUAACAUGAGACCUACUUUCAAUACAGCAGAGCAUGCUGCUGGAAACCAGCAUCUUGCCAAUGUUUGGGAGCUGUUCUUGACUGUGGAGGGAAAGCAAGGCAACGUUCUCCAUCUCGACAGGUUGUGUGCUUCGCUGGACUCCUUUCCAGAAUCCAGCUGAGUGUGGCGUGCUGUGGUCAGCCCGUGAGGGAGAGGAGAAGCCAGCCUGAGAGACGUGGGCUCUGGAUCAGCGUACAGGGCAUUCAGCAAGUCCAAGUGUGAUGAGAACAGCGUGAAGGACUACACACCCACCACAGGAGCCGAGGUCACCUUCCUGCCCUUCCUACAUGGGUGGUCUCCUUCUGGGUAGCUUUGGGAUUCAUUUUGAUACAAGUCCCUGAGCCCCUCCUGUAUUUAAGAGGGUCAGCUGAAAAGCCAGGGCAAGAUUGGGAAGCUGAAGCUCUUCACCUGCGAUGUGAGACUCUUGCCUAGGAAGCUGGCGAGGUCCACCAGCCAGUCUGCAGGCCUGCGGGACCACUCACAGGCUGGCUCUCGCUCCUCAACUUGUUUACAGAGAUACUUUAAAAAGCCAACAAGAGCCUCACGUUUCAUAACUUACUUGUUUCUUCCUCUUUCCCCUUUUUAUUCUCUUCUAAACCAAUGACUGUGUCAUAUUCUCACCACGUGUGGCCCUUGAGGUGUUUGUCCCGACUUUGAUCUACUUUAACUUGUGCGAUGGUUUAGAUAUGAGGUGUCCCCAGAAAGCUCCUGGGUGAGACAGUGCAGGAGAGCUCAGAGGAGGAAGGAUUGGGUUAUGGGAGCCGCAACCUGAUCAGGGCUUUCAUCCGCCAUGUGGAUUAACUGGGUGGUAGCUGGGCAGGUGGGGGGAGGACAGGGUGGGUCAGUGGGGGCAUGACUUGGGGCAUAUUAUUUUGUCCCUGGAGAGUCGCCCUCUCUGCUUCCUGGUGCCACGUGCCCAGCCCCUUUCCUCCACCACAUACUUCCACCAUGAUGUCUGCUUCACCUGGAGCCCCCCAGGAACGGGGUCGGCCAUCGAUGGACUGAGACCUUUUAAACUGUGAGCCCCAAAUAAACUUCUCCUACUUAAUAUUGUUCUUGUUGAGUGUUUUGGUCACAGCAGUGAAAAAGCUAACUAAAAGGCCCUGUGACUUCGAGUGUGUUGCAAGCCCUCCUGUUCUCCCUCCCGCUCUACGGAGGCAAGGUGCGAGGGUCUGGGUUCACUUCAGUGCUGAGCUUAACUCUCCGUCGUCACAUUCUCCGUGGGCCGAGUGACACAAACCCUGUGUUGCAACAGGGCGCACUUCCAGGCUCUCUCCUCCCAGGGCAGCAGGCCUCCGAAGCCAGGAGUGGCCUCAGGUUGACCAGCGCCGGCUCACCUGGAGGCGGGAAGCUUGUCUGUGCUCGGUUCUGGAAGUCACUUCCUUUGCUGCUGGCCAGUUGGGGGGAGUAGUAAAGGGGUGUGUGCGUGUGUUUGCUGAAGGGUAUUCAGGCAUUGACUAGAACCGGAAGGACCUUUCCUUUGAUCCCAGGUAGUCAUUACAGCAAUGCCAACUGCGGAGACCUGUGAAUGGCAAACCACUGUUUCAGACGUGAUUACUCCGGAAAUGACCUCCGAAGGAGCUGGAACCAUCCAAAACCAAUAAACCCAUGCCAGAAACACCACCCAUCUUAUUUAUAUUUCACGUAUCAGCGAUGAAAGGACUGUUCUGGUUAAGGAGAUCUGUAGGUGUCACACAUUCAGGCUUGCACCCAACUAAGCAGGGCAUUGGAAAGGACAUUUGACACGGAAUGAUGAAUGGGCGCAGGUGUGCCGUGCCGCCGGGCGAGGUUUGGGCAGCCCUGUGUCAGGCAGGUGCGUAAUGGACGUCCUCUGGGCGUGCUCAGCCGUUACUCGCACAUCUUGGACUUUCACUGAGGCUCUGACUCUCAUAUCAUUGGCAGCAAAUUGAGUUUUUCCCAGUUGAUUUGGUUGUGGAGCAAGGUGUAGCAUAUUCAUGAGUGAUAGUCCCAUCGGGAGAUUCGCUUAGAGCAGUGAAAUCCAAAUUGGCUGUUAAGAUGUAGGCAUGGGAACAUUUCAGAAGCGGAGAAGCCGGGCUGACCCUGCCUCUCCGGCAGCCCUCCUGCUGCCAUAGCCGGCACCAAUGUAUGCUCUUCCCAUCGACCCCCACGCCAGGUGUCGCCCCUGCUCUGGCUUCAUGGCCUCUGGAGCUACCUCGUCCCUCCUUGUCUUCUCCACUGCUUUCCUCCUGGGUGCCUUGCACUGUCCCUGGAUAGGAAUGUACUUUCACAACAAAAGACAGCUUGCUCAGAGGGCAGAGAAGGUGCAUUUACUGAGGUCUCCAUGUCCCUUUGUGUUCGCUAGGACCUGGCUGGAGUGCCUGACCUAGGACCAUUAGAAAAGCCGGACAGACAGACAACAGGGGAUCUGCAGGAAAGGGCCCCUCCCGCAGCCCUGGGAAGUGUUGAGGGCCCACCCUGCACAGGCUUCAUGGGGAGCCACCUGUUUCCAAACUGCUCUGGAAAAACUAAAGAAAAAUGUUUCCACCUUAGACUGGUGUGCAGAUGGGUGUGUGUGAGGGUCCUGGUGAGUGGCUUGAUUCGCCACCGAGAAGGGAAUCCUAAAGAAUCGGGAAGCCACACCCGUCUGCCGCAUCUAACGUUCCUUCCCGUGCCCUUCUAUCUGGCACCCUGCUCUUCCUCACCUCCCGACACUGCUGUUCCCUUGGUAAAUGUUAGCACCAGGGACAGAGUGACAGAAAGCUGGUGGUGAUGGGCACGCAGUGGUGGGAAAAGGUGGGCGUGGUGGAACCCUAAUAUCCCUAAUACCUGAUGCUGUGUGGUGCAACCAGCAAGCAACACAUGACCUCAUGUAGGCGCCUGAAUAACUCCAUGGCGUGUUAUUCCCAUCGUACAGAUGAGGAAAUGGAGACAAACAGGCUGAAUAACUGGUCAGGAUUCCCCAGAGAGGCAGAGCCCACAGGACUCGCCCCCAAGCCCCCACCCAGACUCACAGUGAGGAACUGACUCGGUGCUGUGGAGGCCAAGGGCUCCCAGUUUCUGCAGUGGCUAGCAGGAGGCCCGGGGGGGCCUGCAGGGUCCAGUCUGAGGCUGCAGGCCGAGCACCAGGGCGGAGAGUCUGUGUUCCAGGGUGAAGGCUGCAGGGUGGGGAUGGGGAGACUAAGGACGUGCAACCACUGCUGUCCCGCUCCUCACCAGGCAGGAGGCUGCCUCUCUCCCUUCGAGGUGCCUCUCUCCCUCUUGCUCUUGCCUCACUUGAUCGCAGAGGCCCACCCACACGUGGAGAGCCACGCUCUCUGCUCACUCGUCCACACACCCAGUUAGGACGUCCCCCGGUUGGCUGAAUUUCUGGGCAUCCCAUGGCCCGGUCAGCUUGGCACGUUGAACUCCCCAUUAUACCUACCCCAGAUGGCUAGCUACUUGAAAGAUGCUGUCAGAGCUGAAAAAGAGCCACCCCUUCCCCCUGCAUCUCUUGGGCCAUGGGAAGUGAGAGGCAGCCCUCUACCAGUGCAGAUUGUUCCCAGGCAAUAAGGUGUGUGAGGGUCAACGAACCCUGGGAUAGAGUCGGCAGGUAUACAGUUGGCGUUUCCUGUGUUUUGCACACUAAGCGAUCUUCAGUGAGUCAAAUGCAAUUUGCCUUUCCAAACAGACAGACAACAGAGGCCUCCGAGCACCUGAAUGUGCACUUCCCUCUCAAGCAGCCUCGGCACGUCCUCAACUCUCAGCGAGCCCCGGGGAGAACCUAUUCUUCAUGCUCUUUUUCCUUUCUGGGCGCAAGUAUCCGAGGGGAGACGGCUCACAGGCACCUGACGUGGCUGCCACAUUUCAUGAGGUAAGUCUUCCACGUUCCAAGAGGAAGGCGGG
rnacentral:lncRNA from 1 species